rnacentral:rRNA from 1 species
GGGGGGGGGGGGGGGGGGGGGGGGCGGGGGCGGGGCGACGGGAAGGGGGGGUGUUAGCGGAGGGUUGGGGGGCGGACGGGUGAGUAACGCGUAAAGAACUUGCCUCACAGCUAGGGACAACAUUUGGAAACGAAUGCUAAUACCUAAUAUUAUGAUAAUAGGGCAUCCUAUAAUUAUGAAAGCUAUAAGCGCUGUGAGAGAGCUUUGCGUCCCAUUAGCUAGUUGGAGAGGUAACGGCUCACCAAGGCGAUGAUGGGUAGCCGGCCUGAGAGGGUGAUCGGCCACAAGGGGACUGAGACACGGCCCUUACUCCUACGGGAGGCAGCAGUGGGGAAUAUUGGACAAUGGACCGAGAGUCUGAUCCAGCAAUUCUGUGUGCACGAUGAAGUUUUUCGGAAUGUAAAGUGCUUUCAGUUGGGAAGAAACAAAUGACGGUACCAACAGAAGAAGUGACGGCUAAAUACGUG